GGCUGUAUGGUCAAGGGCCAAGCUAUUCCUAUGGGCCAAACGAGUGCAUUGCUUUGCUGGUUGCCACGGAGUUGGUUCUUACUCUGAGUCUAGGUCACUCUGAGGUGUGCAAACUUUUGCUGCCAACCUCAAAUUUGUUAUCAGACCUCCUUCGGUGUUUUUCGCUGUGGUUUCCAUUUUCAAUUCUAUGUUGUCUAUUUCAUGUCUUUCAUGGUUCCCAGUACCUGAAUGACUCUUUUGCCAGCAUGAUGUUUAUGGAUUUAUUUAUUUAUGUGCCAUUUUUGUCAUUUUGCACUUGGAGCAAGAGAAGAAGCUAUGAUAUAUUUCAGGCUGCCAUCUUAAACAAAUGAAUCGCAUAUGCCUUCUAUAUGCUCAAGAAUCCACAAACAUCACCAACAAACAUUGACAAUUAUUCCACUAUUUGCUUUUGCCCUCAGCAAAUUGGGUAGUUGAAACCAUGUCUGUCUUUAGGUCUAUUCCAGGUUGAUCUCCAAUCUGAUAUCAGAAGAAAAACAAAAAUGAAGCUGGCCAUAGUCUCUCAUUUUCAUAAGAAUUCCCCCUUAGAAAUAUUCAGUAAAAAAAAAAAAUUAAAUGUAAAGGAGAGUUUAAAUUGUAGGAAGCUGAGACAACCCAAAAGAUCAAACUGUGUAAUGAGACUCAAGAAUCAGAGAUUUUUAUCUACUACCAGACCUUACUAAUGUCUUCAAGAAUAUAAGUUGUCACAAAAACACAGGCAGAGCAGAGAAAGGCCCAGGCCCCCAGUGCUACUUCCCAGGCCCUUUCUGCCUACAUCAGAUGAGUUAUGGCCCAGGUUGACUGAUGUGGUUUCUAAGUAAAAUGUCACUAACUCUCAAAGCUCUUUCACUUUAUACUCAGACACUUACCUAGUUUAUCCAACCUCUUCCAGGGAGGCACCUCUCAUGAAUCCAUGCAUCCCAGAUUUGUUUGCUAUAAACAAACCUAGACAACCAGGCACAUUCUACUAAAAACAUUCCUUAGAUAAGUAUUCUGCUAGCAGAAGCCAUUGUUUGAUUGACAGGAGGUCUAGUAUCAGUAGGUUAAAAGGCAAUUGGACUGGGGCACAAGGCUUCUUUCUCAGGAAUGUCUCUUCCCAGUUGCCCCUCCACCACUCGCUCCAUAAAAGGAGUAAAUGGGUUGACUUGCUGCUCAUCUCUUCCCUUCCCAGCAAACAGUCAACAUGAAAUCAGUUUUAUCUCAUGUGGGCCACUGUCGCAUUCAAUUCUAAUUCAGCAGGUGUAGAAAGAACCUAAAUUGUUACUGGUUUUUUUAAAUUCUUUCCUCAAAUCCCCUUGAAAAUUCAAAUAAAAAGUACAGAAAUAGAGCAGUUGUGAGAAUCAUUCUUUAUCUACAUAGAACAUAUUUUUCUUUAGUUUAUCUUUUUUAAAAAUGUUUUGAAAAGCAUCUCAUUGGCUACUCCCUCCUAACAUAUUAUGCCACUAAAUGUGUGGAAUCUUAGUUUUUAGAAUUUCACCCUUAAAAAUUAAGGUUUUAAUGUUUAGUAAGUAGCACACUUACAUAGAGAAAAACUGGUAAUUCUCACAGUAAGAUGUAGAAAAUAGUUUCCAUAUUGUUUGCUAAGUCCUAUCCUUUGCUAGUGCCUACCUGGAACAUUGUGUUGAGAAGGAUUUGCAAGUUAGUUAUAGAUUUAACAACAACCAAAAAAACUCUAUGGUUAAUUGAUAAUUUGGGUCAUGGGCAUGGAUCUUACCAUUCAUGAUCUAAGCUAUCAUUAAACAUAGUAACUUACAAUUAUGUUGCAGUGACAAAUCUGGGAACAGUUUUGAUAGAUAAAUGACAUGACCCUGUUUGCCUGAGAUAGUUCCGAUCUUGACCUACUGUCCCCAUGUAAUUUUUCAUAGUAAUUUUUAGUAUCAUUUACUCCCAAAGGUAUCCUAUAAAGAGGUUAUGCUGUAUGGCUACCCUAGUAAUAGAAUGCAAGAAACUGAAUGAGGAGGCAUUAGAUUGAGGCUCUUGUUAGGAAUCUACAUAAGAGGUUACAGAAAAUAAGAUUUAAUAAGAGACCUUAGGGACAGUCAAAUGUGGAGAGAUGUGAGGAUUACUGUGGUAAAGGAUUGCCUGCAUGAGUCUUUAGAGCCUCUCAAACUUGAGAUCCCGGUUUAAAUAUCCUAUUUCGCUGGGGGAUCUAGGUAGCUCCAUUGGUCAGCACAGAGCCUGGAGCCUGCUUCAGAUUCUAUGAGUCCCUCUCUUUACCCCUCUUCUGCUCACACUCUCUCUGUCUCUCAAAAAUAAAAUAAAUGUAAAAAAAUAAAUAAGUAAUAAAUAAAUAAGUAAUAAGUAAUAAAUAAGUAAAUAAGCAUGUAAAUAAAUAAAUAAAUAAAUACCCUAUUUCACUGACUGGAUAACCAAAACUCAGAGAAUGAGAGUUUAAUUUAAUUAUUCAGUUGCACAGCUUAUUUUUGGCACAUCUACUGAUUCCCAGAUCAAUGUCUCUUUCACAUACAGCAUGCUUAUAACACCAUUUUCUAUCAUUUGUCUUAAGAAGCUGUGGUGGGUUGAUGAGUGUCCCCUAGAAAUUUCUGCUCACCCAGAACCUCACAGUGUGACCUUAUUUGAAAUAGGGUCUUUACAUACAGAUAGCUAACAGACAUAUGAAAAGAUGCUCAAUAUCACUCAUCAUCAGGGAAAUGCAAAUCAAAACCACGAUGAGAUACGGCCUCAUACCUGUCGGAAUGGCUAAAAUUAACAACAUAGGAAACAACAGAUGUUAAUGAAGAUGCAGAGAAAGGGGAAUCCUCUUAUACUGUUGAUGGGAAUACAAACUGGUGCAGCCUCUCUGGAAAACAGUAUGGAAAUUACUCAAAAAUUUAAAAAUAGAAUUAUCCUACAAAUCCAGAAAUUGCACUAGUAGGUAUUUACCAAAAGGAUACAAAAAUACUGACUUGAAGAGACACAUGCAGCCCAAUGUUUAUGGUAGCAUCAUCAACAAUAACCAAACUAUAGGAAGAGCUCAAAUGAUGUCCAUCCACUGAUUAAUGGAUAAAGGAGUUGGUAUAUAUUCGUUACACACAUACAUACACACACAAUGGCAUAUUACUUAGCCAUAAAAAAAGAGAAUGGAAUCUUGCCAUUUGCAAUGAUGUGAAUGGAGCUAGAGUGGAUUAUGCCAAGCAAAAUAAGUCAGUCAGAGAAAGACAAGUAGCAUAUGAUUUCACUCAUUACAUGGAAUUUAAGAAACAAAACAGAUGAACGCAAAGGAGAAAGAAACAGGUAAACCAUAAAACAGACUUUUAACUAUGGAGAACAAACUGAGGGUUUAUGGAGGGAAGGUGCAGGGUGGGGGUGGGGGGCUAGAUGGGUGAUGGGUACUAAGGAGGGCAUUUGUUGUGAUGAGCAUUGGGUAUUGUAUGUAAGUGAUGAAUCACCAAAUUCUACUCUUGAAACUAAUAUUACACUGUAUGUUAUUUGACAGGAAUUUAAAUAAAAACUUGAAACUAAAAAAGAAAAAGAAAUAGGGUCUUUGCAGAUGUAAUUAAUCUCAAAAUUAAAUCAUCCUGAGUUUGGAGUGGGUCCUCAAUCUAAUGACUGGUGUUCUUAGAGGGAGAGAGAACACAGAAAGACACAGACACCACACAAGGGAGAAUGCCAUGUGACACCCACGUGAAGAUCAGGAUAGUGCAUCUACAACCAAAGAAUGCCAAGAAUGGAAGACAGCCAGAAAUUAGGAGACAGUUCUUGAAACAUCCACAUAUUCCCAUGAUCAUAGUGCAAAGCAGAAAGUCUCCAGAGCCUUACCGCAGGCACAGAUGAAAUGCGGAUGCAGACGAAGGAGAGAACACUGUCAGCUUCCAAAGAAACCUUGAAGGAUUGGGAGUUGGACACGACCCAGGAAAGGGCACUCCUGGUGGAAAGAGCAGCCUGGAGCCAGGCAGGGAGCAGGGAAGCACACAUCCACAGCAACUAUAGCUGUAUGUGGUCAGUGUGUUUGGGCACAGGUCAGAAAUUUAGAUUUUUCUGACAGUGUGACGAGUGAGGACCUGCUGAAGGUGUCAGACAGGGGUGUGGGGGGCAGUGAUAGAAUGGUACUUGCAGAAAUGGUACUUGCAGAAAUGGUACUAUGUAUCUGAAGGACAGACAGAUAGAUGAGAAAUGAACAUGGAAACAGCAAGACUGGUCCAAAAACUGUGCCACCACAUGAGAGGUGACAAAGGGCCUAAACCAGGGCUGUCGCCAUGGAAAUGGAGAAGAGUGUGGUCAACCUGAGGCUACAUAACAGCUGGAACCCCUUACCUGCUCACUCUGUGCCAGAUACGGUCUUCCAGUUUUACCUGGAUUAUUUUGUUUAAUCCUCAUUACAAGCCAAUGGGAGUUAUAUUAUUAUUACCGUAUUCUACAGAUAAGGAGAUUGAGGUUGGAUGACAAUCACUGGAAAAACCCUGCGCUCUCUCUCUUUUCCUAGCGUAGUCAUUGAGAUAGCUUCUCCCCAAGAGGGCCACCCACUGUCAUUCAUUUCCCCCGACUCUAAUUGUCAUUUCCCAUCGAGGUAGAGUCUCUUCAUCCAGCCCUUUCACUACAGGCUGUGCUACGACUCCUUCGGUCACAGAAUGUUGUGUGUACCAUACUGCCUUUGCAGUCAUCGUCAGCCAAAAAACAUAGGAAAGACUACCAGUGAGAACCACCUUGCCAAACUCGCUCAACACGAGAAUCAUGAGAGAUGGUGACAAUGCCUGCUGUAAGCCACUGGGUUUUAAGGUUGUCUCUGCAGUAACCGAUAACAAAAACAUUAAUGAGACUUCUUUUGUCUCUCAGAAGUGUUCUGCUGUGGACAAGGCAUUGCAUGGUUAACCUGCGUUUAGGAAGUAUAAACAACCGGGACAACCCAAACUCAAACCCAGGUGUAUCUGUGCUUUGAGCCGUAAGUUCACUAUGUAAGAGAGUAAAUGGUGUGUGCAUUUAAAUUCCCUGGGGAAAAUGAGAUGUUUUAUUAAUCUCUUCACACAUCAGAUUACCAGGCACUCUCCAAGGAAAUCCAUCAUAAGACAGGUUGAUAUGUCUGGUAUCAGAGACGUGGGAAGUGGUAGUGCUGGGUUCAAAUCCAUGUUUUUAACCACUGUGCCAUACCUUGUACCACUCGGAGGAUAUUGGCAAAGAUGGGGAUCCCUAGUCACCUAGGAGCAGCUAAGAGAUUGCACUAGUCCAGCCUCUUCAUUUCACAGACCCAUGAGAUCCCAGUGUUCUCAACCCUGGCUGCCCUGUGGAGUCAUCUGGAGAAGAUUUCAAACAAAACACAACGAAAGCUCAACCAGAUUAAGAGAUUUUUACCGAAUUUACAGGUCCACAGCGGCUCUCAUUUCUAUCUCCUCGACCUUGGAUCCAAACCUUCGGCAUCUCAGUAAAUGGCACAACCAAGUUGCUCAGGCCAGAAACUGGCCAGUUUGAAUACUCAGGCCAGUAUUUAUCCUCGAUUCCUCUUUCCGUUCCAUCUACAACCAAACCACCGACUUGUGUCAGGCACUGGGUAAAUGUUUGUUCAAUGAAAUCAGACAUUUAUGGUGUGGGUCUUCAUUUGGAAGGGCACAAUUUUUUAGGUUAUAUAUGUUUGUGUUGUGUACACACACACCCUGUCUGGACUCCUUCUUCUAUCCCUACGUGUCUCCUCUCUGAGAGGAUCAAAUUCAGACUCUAAAGAGAGACCCGGUACUCCGAGUGACAUCCUGACCCCAUGACGAGAGGGCUUGGGUCGCUUUUGAGCUCUUACAUUUCUGUUUUAUUCUUCCCACCCAUCACUCCCGCCUUUUGCAUCAUUGGCAUAUCCACAGGUAAUUUGUGUGGCCCCGAGAAUUCUCUGCUCUGCAAAGAACUGAUAGAGAAACGUCCUUUAAAGCAAUAAUUCCGGCCAUGUUUUAGUCAAGCAAGCAAUAAAGGGCUGCCAAGAUUGAUUAAACAGAGAAGCCAAGCCGCGGCCUCUCCUCAGUCAUGAGAGCUGUCUGUCUAGAUGACACUGCCCCAAACAGACCCCUCUGACCUUCUACUCCAUAGCCUCUGUUUGGUGCUGGGAAUAGACCUCGCCGACCCCGGGCUGUGACCACCCACAUUAGGGAGAGUCAAUGACGGCUAACAACUUAAAAA